AGCCCUGAGGAAGCAAACUGUAAGCAGGAGAAAAAAGAGAAACGAAAACACAAUGGAGUUACAAUAGGAGAAAGGUUGCAUGGGAGAGGUUUCUAUUGGUCAGGUUGGAUAAUCAGUGCAGUCAUCAUUUUACGCGUUCUGUAACAAGCUACAGCAAAUCAGGGAUUGAGCAAUCUCUGUCUCUCUGCCUUGGUCCUUGUCUCUCCUUCCAUUUGUUUGUAUCUUUUUUCACACAUCCCUCCCUCCAUAUCAUUUGUCCAAAUUAAUAACUACUGUCUCUUAUUUCUCUCAAGCGAUCUCUGGCUUUGUGUGACUUUGGUCCUAGUGGCUCCCAAACUGGAAGAACCCAGGUUAGCCAUUUUACCUAUAAUUUGGAGUGGGACUGAGUUUUCACCUUCCCAUCUCGCUAGAUUUUCUGAUGGAAAAGAAAGCAUUUACAUCUGUGUCCUGAAAUGGUAGAUCCCAAAUGAUCAGUAAUGGCUUCCUUGCCUCUGUUCCCUAUCUGAAAAGGAGGCACAGAAGACUGACUGAAGUUUUUAGAAGAUUUAGUCCUGCUACACGUGAGUGUCUUCAGUCAGCAUGUUGUUCAGAUAGUAAUCUGAUCUGAGAUGGUCAAUGUCUCUGACCUAUGGACAUAGGAAAUCUAGAGUAAGGAACCUUUGUCCCUGUACAGCAAAACUUUUCCAUAUCCACAACCCAGAGACCGAGCCAGGUCACAGCUGUUAGAAAGAAGGAGCUGAGUUUUGAAAAAGAGGUGUACCUGUCACCAGGGUUAGGGGCAGCUGUGAAAUUAGAGUUGGUUCCUUUAGUUGUUCUAUCCCCAUAUUAAAUAGUUGUUUCUUUAUAGUAUACUGUAACAGCCACUGUCUGCAAGGGUCCAAGUCCAGAGAUCACUCCCCUGCUUUAACCCUGGGGCUCUCAGGGACUUGUGCCCUUCACAUUAGUGUUUUAUUACUUGAGAAACAACAACUUUUGUAUUCCAGAUAUAUUCCAGCUUUAAGUGUGACAUGAGCUUACAGACAAGAAUGAGUCAGCCUGUGGAACUUUCACUUCCUCAACCAGUAUACCCCCUCACCUUGAGCCAGUGAUCUGUCUUCAGAACCACCUCACCAGUGUUCACUGAUUUCCAUUCAGCACAUUCAACAAAAUCAGGAUAUGGAACCUGGCAUCAGAUCCGCCCAAGGACUCUGAAUAUUCAGUGAGUGACUAGCUCCAGCUUCUACUGGGACAAUGAAAAGGAGAUGGAUCCUGUAGAAGGGACCAGUUCAGUAAGCCACCAGCUCUUCUGCCUCCAUGCUCUGCUCAAUCUCAGAUAGCAGGGAUGUGCUGGUUGUGUUGAAACUUUGGAGACUUCUCUCCUCGCUAAGCUCUUCUACCUUUCCCUGGAGCUGCCGACAGGACAGUCGC